rnacentral:lncRNA from 1 species
CUUAAACUACACAGUGUCCUCAAUGUGUCGCAAUCAUCAGAUCAGAAAUCAGAACAAUCAACAGAUCAUGGACAAGUGCAAUAAAAGUAAGGAAAGGGGGGAGAAGGGAAAAGAAGAAACUCCCCUGAUCAUGGUGGCAGUUGCCAAUUUUGGACUUUCAGGGAAAGGUCUUCCACCAUAGAAUUGAGCAAGGAAGUCUUGAGGAGGAACUGCUUCAGUCUCCAAAUUUGAUCAAGCAGGGAGAUGUCCUCCACAACUGGAUCUAAGAAGCAGUGAUUGUUGAUGAGCAGGUUCAGCUGGUCCCUAUUAAUCUUCAAACUGUCGGCACCUUUGUCUUCCACCAUGGGUGUGUGUUGAUCAAACUCAUGUGUACCUCCUACAACAUGGUUAGUGCAAUGUGGUUCUACAGAAAUAACAUGCAGAGGUAUAACACCCAAUCCCAGUGUAAGAGGCUGAACCUCAGAUAUACCCUCAGAACAUGAAUCAAUUUCAGAAAUAGAAACAAUAUCAAUCACAGGUUCAGAUUCAUGUUCAGUGCAUGGAGGACAAACAUUCAGAUGCGAUAACACAAAGUGGUUCUCAUCAUGCAAAAAGGGAGAAUGAAAAUCAUGCUCAUCAACCU